rnacentral:rRNA from 1 species
CGUAGGAAAUUUGAGAGGAGCUGUCCUUAGUACGAGAGGACCGGGAUGGACAUACCUCUGGUGUACCAGUUGUCGUGCCAACGGCAUAGCUGGGUAGCUAUGUAUGGACGGGAUAAGUGCUGAAAGCAUCUAAGCAUGAAGCCCCCCUCAAGAUGAGAUUUCCCAACUUCGGUUAUAAGAUCCCUCGAAGAUGACGAGGUUAAUAGGUUCGAGGUGGAAGCGUGGUGACACGUGGAGCUGACGAAUACUAAUCGAUCGAAGACUUAAUCAA